rnacentral:rRNA from 1 species
AAUGCUGGCGGCGUGCCUAAUACAUGCAAGUCGAGCGGUAACAGGGUUCACCGUGCUCUGACACUCCGGGCUUUAAGCGGGAGGACAGAUUCGAGAGUACAGUGAAGCUGCUGACGAGCGGCGGACGGCUGAGUAACGCGUGGGAACGUACCCCAAACUGAGGGAUAACGCACCGAAAGGUGUGCUAAUACCGCAUGUGAUCUUCGGAUUAAAGCUUCGGCGGUUUGGGAAUGGCCUGCGUACGAUUAGAUAGUUGGUGAGGUAAUGGCUCACCAAGUCGACGAUCGUUAGAUGGUUUGAGAGGAUGAUCAUCCAGACUGGGACUGAGACACGGCCCAGACUCCUACGGGAGGCAGCAGUAGGGAAUCUUUCACAAUGGGCGAAAGCCUGAUGGAGCCAACGCCGCGUGCAGGAUGAAGGCCUUCGGGUUGUAAACUGCUUUUAUAAGCGAGAAAUAUGAUGGUAACUUAUGAAUAAGGAUCGGCUAACUACGUGCCAGCCGCUGC